UAAUACGGAGGGGGCGAGCGUUGUUCGGAAUCAUUGGGCGUAAAGGGCGCGUAGGCGGCCUUGUAAGUCAGAUGUGAAAGCCCUUGGCUUAACCAAGGAACUGCAUCUGAAACUGCGGGGCUUGAGUCCGGGAGGGGAGAGUGGAAUUCCCAGUGUAGCGGUGAAAUGCGUAGAUAUUGGGAGGAACACCGGUGGCGAAGGCGGCUCUCUGGACCGGUACUGACGCUGAGGCGCGAAAGCUAGGGGAGCAAACGGGAUUAGAUACCCCGGUAGUCCUAGCUGUAAACGAUGGGCACUUGGUGUGGCGGGUAUCGACCCCUGCCGUGCCGAAGCUAACGCAUUAAGUGCCCCGCCUGGGGAGUACGGUCGCAAGGCUG
rnacentral:rRNA from 1 species